UCCGGUUUGUCACCGGCAGUCUCACUAGAGUGCCCGUUUCCGUAGCAACUAGUGACAAGGGUUGCGCUCGUUGCGGGACUUAACCCAACAUCUCACGACACGAGCUGACGACGGCCAUGCAGCACCUGUCACUUGGCUCCCGAGGGCACCCCCUGAUUUCUCAAGGGUUCCAAGGAUGUCAAGCCUGGGUGAGGUUCUCCGCGUAUCGUCAAAUUAAACCACAUCAUCCACCGCUUGUGCGGGUCCCCGUCAAUUCCUUUGAGUUUUAGCCUUGCGGCCGUACUUCCCAGGCGGCAUACUUAUCGCGUUAGCUUCGUCUCACAGGGGGUCGAUACCCCAUAAGACUAGUAUGCAUCGUUUACGGCGUGGACUAC
rnacentral:misc_RNA from 1 species